UACAGAGGGUGCAAGCGUUAAUCGGAAUUACUGGGCGUAAAGCGCGCGUAGGUGGUUUGUUAAGUUGGAUGUGAAAUCCCCGGGCUCAACCUGGGAACUGCAUCCAAAACUGGCAAGCUAGAGUAGGGCAGAGGGUGGUGGAAUUUCCUGCGUAGCGGUGAAAUGCGUAGAUAUAGGAAGGAACACCAGUGGCGAAGGCGACCACCUGGGCUCAUACUGACACUGAGGUGCGAAAGCGUGGGGAGCGAACAGG
rnacentral:rRNA from 1 species